GACGAAGGGGGCUAGCGUUGUUCGGAAUCACUGGGCGUAAAGCGCACGCAGGCGGAUUGAUAAGUCAGGGGUGAAAUCCCGGGGCUCAACCUCGGAAUUGCCUUUGAUACUGUCUGUCUUGAGUCCGGGAGAGGUGAGUGGAAUUCCUAGUGUAGAGGUGAAAUUCGUAGAUAUUAGGAAGAACACCAGUGGCGAAGGCGGCUCACUGGCCCGGUACUGACGCUCAUGUGCGAAAGCGUGGGGAGCAAACAGG
rnacentral:rRNA from 1 species